CUGAGGUAAACCCCGGACAGAAACAGACUUGUUUCGCCUUCCUCACAGACACACACGCCCCUACUCCGAACCCAAGGAAAGAAUCGCUGAUCGACUCCUUUCCGUUGCUUCCUUUUGAAGACUCUCUCAAUCCCCGAUGUAGGAUUUUAUGGCAAAGCAGGAACAGGUGCCACUGAAGGUGUCCGAGGGAAAGGAAAGCUGGGCACUCCUCCUCCAGCUCACCUAUGCACGUCCCAGUGUGGGAUGAGCUUAGAGCCAGGUCUAAACACUCGAGACUGUCCAGAGGUGAGCAUAUCCUCCAACUACCCACAGGGAAGACGGGUUCCGCAAAAGGGUCCGGGGAACGUGUCUGA